ACGCUAGCUACAGGCUUAACACAUGCAAGUCGAGGGGCAGCAUUUUAGUUUGCUUGCAAACUGAAGAUGGCGACCGGCGCACGGGUGAGUAACACGUAUCCAACCUGCCGAUAACUCCGGAAUAGCCUUUCGAAAGAAAGAUUAAUACCGGAUAGCAUACGAAUAUCGCAUGAUAUUUUUAUUAAAGAAUUUCGGUUAUCGAUGGGGAUGCGUUCCAUUAGUUUGUUGGCGGGGUAACGGCCCACCAAGACUACGAUGGAUAGGGGUUCUGAGAGGAAGGUCCCCCACAUUGGAACUGAGACACGGUCCAAACUCCUACGGGAGGCAGCAGUGAGGAAUAUUGGUCAAUGGGCGAGAGCCUGAACCAGCCAAGUAGCGUGAAGGAUGAAGGCUCUAUGGGUCGUAAACUUCUUUUAUAUGGGAAUAAAGUUUUCCACGUGUGGAAUUUUGUAUGUACCAUAUGAAUAAGGAUCGGCUAACUCCGUGCCAGCAGCCGCGGUAAUACGGAGGAUCCGAGCGUUAUCCGGAUUUAUUGGGUUUAAAGGGAGCGUAGGUGGAUUGUUAAGUCAGUUGUGAAAGUUUGCGGCUCAACCGUAAAAUUGCAGUUGAAACUGGCAGUCUUGAGUACAGUAGAGGUGGGCGGAAUUCGUGGUGUAGCGGUGAAAUGCUUAGAUAUCACGAAGAACUCCGAUUGCGAAGGCAGCUCACUAGACUGUCACUGACACUGAUGCUCGAAAGUGUGGGUAUCAAACAGGAUUAGAUACCCUGGUAGUCCACACAGUAAACGAUGAAUACUCGCUGUUUGCGAUAUACAGUAAGCGGCCAAGCGAAAGCAUUAAGUAUUCCACCUGGGGAGUACGCCGGCAACGGUGAAACUCAAAGGAAUUGACGGGGGCCCGCACAAGCGGAGGAACAUGUGGUUUAAUUCGAUGAUACGCGAGGAACCUUACCCGGGCUUAAAUUGCAACAGAAUAUAUUGGAAACAGUAUAGCCGUAAGGCUGUUGUGAAGGUGCUGCAUGGUUGUCGUCAGCUCGUGCCGUGAGGUGUCGGCUUAAGUGCCAUAACGAGCGCAACCCUUAUCUUUAGUUACUAACAGGUCAUGCUGAGGACUCUAGAGAGACUGCCGUCGUAAGAUGUGAGGAAGGUGGGGAUGACGUCAAAUCAGCACGGCCCUUACGUCCGGGGCUACACACGUGUUACAAUGGGGGGUACAGAAGGCGGCUACCUGGCGACAGGAUGCUAAUCCCAAAAACCUCUCUCAGUUCGGAUCGAAGUCUGCAACCCGACUUCGUGAAGCUGGAUUCGCUAGUAAUCGCGCAUCAGCCAUGGCGCGGUGAAUACGUUCCCGGGCCUUGUACACACCGCCCGUCAAGCCAUGAAAGCCGGGGGUACCUGAAGUACGUAACCGCAAGGAGCGUCCUAGGGUAAAACUGGUAAUUGGGGC
rnacentral:rRNA from 1 species